rnacentral:lncRNA from 1 species
UGUCUUUCUUGUACCUAACCAAAAGAAGUACAUCAUGACCUUCAUCGACAGAAAAACAAACGGCCGAAAGAAGAGGGAAACGAAUGGGAUAAGACCCAUGAGAACUGAAAUGAGUGUAGUAAGCCAGAGUGAUAUGUAUGAGGGUGCUAAUAUGAGUAACAAAGGUCUUCGAAUGUCUAAUUCUUUGGUCAGAAUUUCGAUCGUUUUCUUCUUCCUUAUUUUUUUCUACUUGGCAUUUAUUUCUAUUGAUUGACAUUGAUUUCGAUCUUUUUUGGCUUCAAGUAAAAUGGACCAUUUUCAGCAAGUCUCUCCGCCUCCUCUUUAGUCGGCUCGGGUUCGGGGGUCUCUGCUGUAUAGGAGUCAUUUGUGCUCUCUUGGAUCAAGAAGACUUUCGUAACUUUAUGGGGGAAAAUCCUUCAAAAGAAGGCACAUCUUCUACCUCUGGCUCUGGAAAUUUGAGGCAAUAUAUAAACUUUUCAGGAGAUUCCGCCCCCGAACCAUCCAGUUCAUCCUCUUGGAGUGGCUCUUGGAUUGAAAGAUGGCUUUUUCCAGAAGUCUCUUCAUCGGCCCCAAACGAGGGGGGGCAACCGCAAGGAGAGGGGGCUACCAGUCAACCAACCGGGGUCAUGGAGCAAGCGGGGCCUUCCCAAAUAGCCCCACCGGGCCCCUCUUCCACUGGCCUGGGGACUGCAGAACAGCAGGCUUUCCACUUAUUAAUAAGACAAGAGGAAGUCAAAAAAGAGCUGCUUAAUUUUCUUAGGGCACAUACAAAAAUAGAGCCCAAGUUCAACUUUGUUGCCCAGCUUGCCGACGACCUUCAAAUUAAGAAUGCGGAUCUCCAUAAACUUUCCAAACUAAAAGAAAUCAUGGACACCCUGAGAGAAUGCGAUAUCAAAAGCGGAAGUGAAGCCGCGAAACACCUAAAGGCAAGUCUCAGCGAAUGGGAAAAAAAUGGGCGUCCUUAAUUUAAAUUUAUUUUUAUGACAUAUUUUAUUUGAACGGAUAAGUCCCCUAACGCGGUUGAGGGGCAGCUGACCGAAAGGAAAGCGGGUAAACCUGCCUAAUGUAUUUACCAUGAAGGUAGCACUCAAAAACCGGGGUGCCGCCCUAAUUAAAGAUUUUGAGGGACCGACGCCGGACGGGUGGACCUCUAAGUAUCCGGUAAAAAGGGUAGCUCCGUGUACGCUUGGGGCUGGAUUGAAUCCUAUUCGAACUACAUCUGACUUGAUCUUGUCCAAGCUAGGAAGGUAUGUGGGCAAGCUCGGCCUUAAAAGCUUUAAGGCUAUGAAAGGUAUUCUGCUACUAGUCCAUGCAUACAUUAGAUAUUUAAGAAGAAGUAGCUCGGCUGGUAUCUUCAAGCCAAACCCCCCUUUGCCCGCUCUCCGACUACCAAUAAUAAGACAGCUACAUUCUCAUCUAUCCUAUCUUUUAGAAACCUAAAUGCUACUUGCCUUUUAGCGUCGAUGGACGAUUUGCUUCGACUCCAAUAUCCCAAACCAGGAAGGAAACUCGAUCCUGACGCACUACCUUUUGAAGCUCGUCUGGAUGGAACCUAUAAAAUCUUACCCUAAACACUAGUCCUCCCCUGUCCAGAGUGUCAAUAUCAAAUCUUCCGCGAAUAGUAGGAAUUGAAGGGGAUGUAACACAACUCUAACUUACUGGAAAAGAGGCUAGUACUUACUAGGACGAAUCCUACUAUUGCUACGAAGGCGGAUACCCCACUAUGGAGACUUCCUGCAAGAAUGGCCCUAGCCAAACCUCGUAUGGAAACCUUACUGCUAGGGAGACCGUCCACUCUAGGGAAAUCUCGUAUACCAAUCCAUUCUCUCGCUCUAUGGAAAGAAGGAAUUCAUUUCUUCGUAUGGACCAAGAUCGAAGCACAUUCCCCCUGGCGAGGGGACCCCCUAGCGAAAAGGAAAGCUACUGGCUCGCAAGCAUUUGGACAUGAACUCCCAAAGGCUGGACCUGGUUCAAGUUUGAAACCUGCCCUGACUAGAGAACCAAUUAUAUCUUAUCCAAACCUCCUAGGCAAACUCUUACCUAAUACAAUACCUCUUUGCUCGUAUCGAGCACUUUCCCUCUUACAGCAUAAGGGUACUCAGACUAUAUAUUCUCUACUUCCACCAAGAAAGAAUGCCAACUACUAAUACUAAAGGGGGCACAAGGGGAAAACAUCCACUAAAUUGAAGGAAAUCUCUCUAGGGGAGCUUCCAAUGGCUGAAACUGGUGGGGAAUUUGCCUGCAAUCUAUUAUAUGUAUAGGCUGAAAAUGUGAUAUGCUUAAUUGAUUGCAACUUAACUUCCAAUAGUGGGCAUAGCAUUAAGAUCUUUUUAAAAGCACAUUCUCGGAUUCCCGGUGGUGGUUCUUAUAAGAAUAUAAAAAGCGCGCCUUUUAUAUGAUAUAGUCUUCUUAAACAGCCUAUUCAAGGAGUCCUCCGGAAGCAGCAUAUACAUAAAAAUCGAACUGCUCUAAUAGAAGGAGGGGCUCACUCACUAGAUACUUAAAAAGGGAUUUCACUUCUUUCAAAAAAAGAACUUGCUUUUGGAGGGGACUCUAACUGGAUCACUGCGACCUCCCACUCCAAGAGGCUGGUCAGGAGAAAAAAAUGAGGACUGCCCGAGAACUGGUUGAAAGCGCUUAUCCUAAGACUGAAACUAUAUAGCUGGGAAUGCUUUCUAUAUAGGCUGAAAAAGAGUGCUACCUUUUAGAUUACCUUGAAUUCUUAGUUUCAAAAUGUCUUAAGAAAAGGUAGGCCCUUAGACAGACUGUUAGCGCUUGUUAGGAAGGGUAGGUUUGGAACCCUCGAGAAUAGCCCGCGUUUGCUUCGUUUGGUUUGUUUAGCCCGUGUUUAGCCUUUCUAGAUAGUUGCUCCUUUGGAACGGGGGUUGAGAGGCCCUAAUCCUUUUAUAUAGUUAGCACAUUAGGACCGUAGCCACGGGAGUCCUGCUUUUUAUCAUAUUGAACUAUCCAUUGGAUAUCGACUAGCUGUCCUACCGCUUGCCUAUAAUAUAAGGCAGAAAGACCAUAUGAUGCCCUUAGGAAUCUAACUGGAUAGUCUUAUACAGGUUAUGGAUAGGCAACCCCCACACAAACUUCCACUGCAACAGGAGGGGAGGGGCAGGGAUAGGGACUGCAAGAGACUCGGCAGGUAGCUCACCUGAACCAAGAGCAAAUGAAGGCUUCCUUUGCUCCUUCGAUACGUGCUCGCUACUGCAGCAGCUAGAGAAGUACGGAUUCGGACAUGGGAGCAUUAGGAAGAUUCUUUCUAGCUUAUGUGAUUCACCUUUGAAUCAUGUGAGUCACUCCUUAAAUAAGGAAAGGUAGUUAACUAAUUUCUCUUCUUAUAGAGAAGGAGAUGCCUUGAACAACCUAUUCUCAAACAACUUUUUCUAGCAGCGUCUUCUCGGUCAAGUCUGCGUAUAGAGCGGUGUAAGAGGAAGGUUGGAGUCAUCAAAAGAGAGGUUUUAUUUGAUCUUUUAUCUGUUAUAUGACAUGAAAGAAAAAUAGAUUCCUCUUACCAUUCUGGAGUAUCAGGUAGUUCAAACUUCCCCCUCAGCCGUAGAGGCAAAAAAGGAAAAGGGGAGCAUAUAGAGGAAGGGUGGUCAGAUUCUAAUUAAAAUGGAUAUGUAAAGCCUGAAACAAAUCCAGAUUGAAAGACUUUUUAAAAAUGCUUUGCCCAGGAUAAGGAUGUGGUCGAUGGUCAAAAGGUGCAAUCUUCUGACCGAAACUAUAAGCAUAAGUAGCACCAUUGAAGAGGCCACUGAGUCCUAUCUCGAAGGGAGCAGAGCUUUAAGCCAAGAUUGGUAUUGAUAAAGAAUUUCUGUCCAGAAGCGUGUAACACAAGAUUAUUUCACAACGACGAAGCAAGCAGAAAGAAGAUUAUACUUCCCAUUUGGGCUAGUCCGCCUACGCAUGUUAUGACAUUUCCACGAACCAUCACGAAUGGCGAAUGAGAAGAGGAACCCCGGCACUUGAGAUGGGUGCUUUCCUUCUUUUUUCUUUCGAAGGUGUUCAAGGGCUGAUUGAGGUAUUAAUUCAAUACAUAUAAUUUCCAUUUUUCUUGAUUUGGUGGUAACCCAUUUGGACGAGCAAUCGCUACUUCGUUCUCGCCUUUGAGUGUGCAGGGCUUGAAUCAUCCAUAAAACGCCUAUUCCUAGGUGCCAAGCUUGUGUGAAAUAUCUUACUUGCCUUAUUCCCGGAAGUGGGUUAAAAUCCCACAAUUAAAUAAUAAUUGCAAAGAUUUUAGAUAUUGUCUCAGUACUUGUGGCUAGUCCUCUUAUAUGGACUUGACCUCCUAGUCCUCUUAUAUGGACUUGACCUCCCUAAGGAUGCUUCCACAGAAGAGGCGAGAGGUUCUAUCCUUCGAUAGGAAAAGCUAUGUGUACCGAACGGGAAAUCUAUACUCGUAGGCGGUGAUACCUCAAGCCCAUGAUACAACAUUUUGAAGUAAGAAAGCAGUUGAUAACGAGAAGGUAACCCCCGGUCGGACUUGGUAGGGUAGAAGCCGAAUAGAAGGCAUAAAGUCAGAGGAAUGAGCGGGUAAAGAAUAAAGAGAUUGGAAAGAUGAGAUUCAUGUAUUGACGUAAUAUAGUAGACCCUUAAAGAACAUCCAAACCUAGAAACGAGAGCACGCCCAUCAAACUGAAAGAAUUGAGAAAGAAGAGGCGGGCUAAGCCCGAAUAGCUUCCUCAAAAGCAUGAUGUAGCGACUUACUAUGAAUAAUGCGAGCUAGCAUUUGGGGCUAAUGUCUGUAGAUGUGAUACCUCCUGGUCAGAGACGGAGAAUCGCUGUUAUCGGAUCUGGUAAUAAACGUAUGCUUAGUAGGGGGGGCUGAACCGGCUUGCUUUUGGUACUAAAUUCCUCCUCCACCCGAGCGUUUAUUGCUUUCUUUCUCGACGAAGGAAUUGAUAGAGGGCGGUGGCGAAGAAAAAGAAGUGAAAUCUUGACCAGUUCGUAUAGAAGUCAAGGGAAGAGUUUUCAAGGAACCAGCUCCUGGGGACUUCUAUUAAGAACGGCUUUUGGUCUUAGUAUGUGGUACAGCAUAUAGAGUCGUGAGACGCUCUACUUCCUCUUGUUCAGUUAUCGAUUCGCUGGCUGUUUCCGGGGGGAGGGGCUCGCCCAGAUGCUUUGCGAGACUGAAAGCUUCAUUUUGUGUUCGGUUGCGUUAUCUACCGCAAAGAGGGACUCCCCCUUUCUAUUAGAACAGUGUUAGUUCGCUAUUACUGCCGGUCAGGCCGACGAGAAUUCAAUUCUGAUAUUGCUAUGUGCGCCACUAGAGCUUUGAUCAUAUGCUUUGAGCCGAGUCGAUGAGUUUGAAUAUUCGUGUACGUAUGCCAUGUAGAUUGAAAAGGGAUAAGCCCUCACUGACUGAGUCUAAAUAGCACACCGGAUGGAUCAUUCAAUGGAAAGCCGAAGGCGAAGAGUUAACACCUCCUAAGGGCUGGGUGAGAGAAAGCGUCCUUUGUUGAUACCUAGUGUACACCGCCACCUACUGAAAUGGAUUAAUAAACGUUGCUUUCUAUUGCUUGUAGCGGCGUUGCUUCCUUUUGUUCACCGCGAAUAAUUCAAUCUUGAGAAAGAAGGCCUUGUGGGGCAUCUCCAGCAGCGCCAAAGAAGGAAGAUGGAAAGUCUUCUUUGUAGACUCGCACCGCUCACUUACGGUUUUAUACAGAGGGGGGUUUUAUUGAAGGGCCAUAAGCUUUGAAUCAAUAUGCGUUGGUUCCAAUCCGGAUCUCGUUGUUUGGGUCUCGAGAUGAUAUUCUAUUCAGGAGACAAAAGAGCAGAGCUGAUAGAAAUGCUAAUUAUAAUGGAGAUACUAAUAAAAACUUUAAUAAAGACUUGUGCCCAUUGUCCAAGAUUCCUUUGUGGGACUUUCUUUUUCUUCUUCUUGACUUGACUCAACAACCCUCCCAUUCAGGACAGAACUCUAAGGGUAUCUCUGAAGAUUCAAAAUACAGAAGAGCGACUGCCAAUCAAGACAAUAUUGAAGCACGCGCCUUAGGACCGAUCCCAGUGAAAUAGGAAAACGAAUCCGCGCGCCCCUAUACUAUCUAGUAGAGCUAGUAGAGUAUCCUUCAUCGAUCGGAACAAAACUAGCAAAAGACACUUUGAGGGAGCUGCGCUAUACAUAAGACUAAGGGACCCAGGCUCUGCCCGAAUGAUACGAUCAGCAACUUCUAGUACCCAAGCUAUGUGAUCAAUAACUCUUCUCCGUGAUCUACGACCACCCUCAGGGCGCCCUAAGCAACCGAAGGGUAGAGAAGAUGAAGAAUAAGGGUAAUCUACACAUGCGGCUAUACCACCAAAAGGAAAGAGAGGACCGAUUGAUACCAAUAGCAAGAUACACAUCUUUUUAGACUCCGAGGGGUGAGAAUAGUUGAAGAUCAGAAGAUUGGAAUGAAAUACCUUAAUAGAUUAAGUGCAAACUUUAUUAUAUAUAUUUUAUAUGGGUAAGCCCCUUCCCUUAGGAACAGAAGGAUACACAAGGGGGUAAUUUCUCACAAUUAUUCACGUUCAACUCCAAGAUCCAGCAAGCCAACUUCAACCGAAACUGAGUAACAUUCUCCCUCUCUUCCUAAUGGAGGCACAUACCAUUCUUGUAACAGUGGAUGGAUAAUCUAAAGUCUCGUAGUCUUUGUUUCUAAAAAGGUUGUGUCCUUUCUACAUAUAUCGAAAUUUGAGUCUUUCACCCCUCUAUUUUAUCGAAUUAGCUAUGGCUAAUCUAGUAGAGUAGGGCUAAUCAGAAGUUUAACUAUGGCGAUUGGAAGAGGCACAACCUCAAUUCAACAAGUCGAGCAGCAGCUUUUCUACACUCAAAGGGAACCCGGCAUCCCAUUAACUGAGACUUCCUAUGCAUAGCUGUAGCCUUUCGUCAUACCCUUUGGGUACUUAGUGCCUCCACCAACUACUAGGCUGUAAUCUUCUUGUUUCUAAACUAAAUCGAGGGUCUAUGCGGCUCUCUGAAUAAUAUGUCCACUGUAGUCUAUUUGAAGCGUUCCUGCCCUUUCUUGUCUUGAAUCAAACGGAAUUGAAUAACCCUGUGUAGUGGGUAGAAUAUGCCUGUGUAGCGGAUAGCAUGGACUGAUUGAAAUAGCAUACUAUUGCAAUGGAUCUCUUUUUUCUUUCAUAUGUAAAAUGUUCGUGUAGUGAAUUCACGGCUAGAGAUAGUACAUUCUGGGUCGAUCAAGGAAGGUAGCGUAUACGGGUACUUGAGAUUUAGUAGAGCAUAGGUUCAAUAACCGGGCUUGGAAAAGAGAAUGAGAAUCUCGUUCAGCAACAGGCUGGGUUUUUGGUCUUUCUACGUUUCAAGUGCCACUCCUUUGGUUAGUACUCCAAAUUGGAUUUCUUUCUUGUUGGUUCGAAGUAAUGCUCCUUUUAUUUAGCUAUGACCUACAUUCUUUGGUUAAAGUGCUCAUGCAGCUUCUAAGGGAUGCGUUCCCCUCCAAGUUGUUUCAAAGUAGCAUCUGUGGAUAAACGAUGGUUAAGCCGCAUCGGUGCGGUCGGGAUCGACCGGCACUUGUGAGGCAGAAGAAUCCUUGAAUAAGAAGAUCGAGCCAAUCCUUGUGGAAAGUCUUUUUUUAGUACUUGUUAGCGUCCCUUCCCCCUUUCUAUGUACCCAGUCUACGAACCUGGCCUAAUCUAAUAGGCCUUCCAGGCCCUGAAAACACCGAUGCAGCAUGGUUUCAUAGUGUAGGAUGGCUCUUACCGGAACUUCUUCACUCAAUUAUCAAGAUUCAAGCUACUUUCUGCUUUUGCUCGCCUCAAAAAAAGCUGCGCCUUUUCUCUUUCUACGUCCCCGAGACCAGGACUAUUCUGAUCGAAGGCUAUAGGCAUCUUACCUCUUUCUUUAGGCGAGCUUAUUCACCAUAAAGUCUGCAUACUCAAUGACUCAUAGCGAGUCGCUCCGUCCUCCUGUGUAGAUGUAGAUAUAGAGGCACCUUUUUCAUUCUGUCUGGUCUGUCUAUCACCACAAACCUAGUGAUCUCACUUCCAAGAAGACGCAGAGCUAAGAGUCAAGAUGCGGGUUCAUCUGACGAGCUGGAUUUUGAAAGAGUCGGGCACUUAUGUUUACUAAACGAACAGGCUCGGUAGUACCUUAACUAAGUUCUUCGAAUGGAGGACAAGGGACGGAUGAAAUUCCCAAUGGUAUCGAACUGGCUUCUAUGAUUGCCUUCACAUAACUUGAGUAGACGACAGCUGGAAGUCCCUUUUGGUUAAUAUAGCCGCUUGAUUGCUUAUUUACUAUGAACCAGAAUGACUUUCUUUCCUAUUUAGAACUUAAGAUUUAUGUUUGUCGCUGGUUCGAUCUCUGGACGUGCAUCGGCGGCCCCCUUUCCAUUGAUAGUCCUCCUAAGCCUUCGGUAAUAAAUAGGCUUUACCUGAAAAUAAAUAAGGUAUCGAGACCUACUGACAUAGAUUAAGCUGCUACUAGAUCCCCCGUCUUGUCGAAGAAUCAAAUACUUCGUUCUCAUCGAUUGGGAUUGACUGUCUUCUUUACUUCGACAGAUGUGGUCAACCCCAGCUUGCUUAUCUACGGCUGCCAUAUUCCGUGUAACUUAAUGAAUUUGAUCCAAUCCAAUAAGCCCGUAAGCGCCGGUACAAUAUAAUUAGAAUAUCCUAUAUUGAGGUGGAAUCCUAUAUCUAGUCUUUCUUCAUUUCCUGCAGAAUCAGAUGCUUACUCUUCAUUAAUUAGAGGGGUGGUCACUCCACUUGAGUCAACCGGCCCCAAACGAGGGGGGGAAGAGAUAGAGCUCUAAUAAAUCUUUAUGCCAAGGAUUGCCGGAGUUUAUUAUCUUGACCCUUCCCUUGACUCAACCUUCUGAUUCAUCCCAAGACUCGAGAGAUGUUUUUAGAAAGAUACAUAAAUUUCUAUCAAAACGAGAUUGAAGUAUGUUCCAGGACCGACAUCUGUGAAAAAGCCGAACUCACACGUUACCACUGGCGCUAUGCUGCCUCCUCGUCAUCGUGCAGCACUCCUAUAAAGGUUAAUAUAAAAUAUACAAUUCUUUGAGACUCCCCAAGGGGAACGGGAUCAUGCAAUAAAAGAUUACUAUCAAUUAAGCUGGUACAGCCACUACGUCUAUUGUAGUACUACUUUCGCUGCUCUUCUACUCCCUGGCACUCGUGUCGCCAUACCAUACCCCCCCGCGGCAUUUCCAUGACCAACUAGAAAUAACCAGCAAAACCCAUUCUGAAUGGAACCAAACCAACCCUAACUAAAUGGAAAAACUUGGAACCUCCAACUCUCUUCUUUGAGGAUAGCUCCCCUCUUCUAUUCCGGACGGAACCAGGCACUAGCCGAAGAAACAAACAGGCCUAUGUGUCCAGUGCUCCUAUCGAGUCAGACCUUAGCUGUGGUAGAGUGCGGAAAGAGGGAAACCACCCUCUAAAAAGGGUUCGCUUCGUCAGUCAGAAGCCUGAAACCAUAUUCUAUGUCUGUAUACGUUUAGCUAACCCGAUUUUUUUCCAGGCCUCUCACCGAAAGGUGGAAGGAGGGGCUAGGUAGGCUAUGCUCUGGUGUACGUGUACCUCUUCCCCUGAGUCGGGUGAUAGAGAAUAGACCAAAUCACUUUUCAAAUAGCUUCGUUCCCUUGUCUCUUAUCUUUUAGUUUUAGGUGGACUCUAUCUGGAGGGCUAAUUUCAUUAGUAGUGCUUGGUCAAAGAAAGACCAAAGGAAUCCACUGUUUCAGCCUUUGCUGGAGGCGGUGGAAAGACUUCUGUACAGAAGUGAGUCUGACGGGUCUCAGUCGGAGGUUUUCCGAGUCUCCGGGGUAGGCUUGUUGGCUGGCUUAUGAUGGUUUCCUGUCCCAAUUCAACAUAUUGGUAGCAGGCUUGGUCCGGUUUCGAUUCCGUGGGAAGAUAAGAGACUUUGCUGCACUGUUAACACUCUUGAUUUAAUGGAAGCACUCACUAAUCAUUGCGUUGAACAUCAAUCUAUUGCUCUGCUCAGUUAGACUUCCGAAUUUCGGGUGUGAAGGAAUAGUUGGAAUAUUUUAACUAUAAACAGGAUCGAAGAGCUUAGUGUGAAAGGCAAAGGAAAGACUUUCAUUCAGCUCCAAUGCGCGGAAUCGCAAAAGACUAUUAUGGUAGGAAGAUGGCACUCAUUACAUUAGUUAGUAACUAGGGAUUCAUUGAAUUUCUUUUUGAUAAGAGUGAGGCUCUGCCCCUUGAUGGUGUAGCUCGUGGGGUAGAGUUGCACCUUGGUGCGUGGAGCGGAAUGGCACCCUUGGAUGAUUUUGAUAUUGUGCUCUGGGCAUGGAGUUUCUAAGGCAAUUCCAUGUGAUUCCUUUGCCGCGUUAUAACUCCUUUUGUAUCUUGGAAGAAGGUCCAUGCAUGAUUCCGCGGUAGGUAACCAAGCCUACCACCAAGUCAAGCUUUCUCUCCGUCACUCAAGAAAGGAGUGAAGAGGGGAGAAGUCACUUACCUAGCUACAUUGCGGGAAGUAGAUGGUGGAGUAGAUGGCACAACGGAGGAGCUACCAAAGGAGAUUUGGGGAGUCCUUGAGGAGUAUAAGGACGUAAUGCCACCCCAGUUACCCAAGAAGCUUCCACCUAGGAGAGAAGUUGAUCAUAACGAGUUAGUGCCGGGAGCCAAGCCACCCGCCAAAGCUCCUUACCGCAUGUCGCCACCUGAACUUGAGGAGCUACGGAAGCAAGCCUGUAGCAAAGCGGUUUCGUCUGUUGGGCAAGGCUUCUACGCCCUGGAAUACAGGUUCAGGCAGUUCAGGAAGACUGAAGUUCCCAAAGCUUCGUUUAGGCUCACUCAACCGGAAUAAAAAACCUUCAUACGAUUCAAGUCGUAGUUCCAUAAGGAAGUCGUGGAAUAGGAGCAAGCAAGGCAGUCUAAGGUAGUGGGGCUUCUCUUUCAUAAGUUGCCAAUCUCCGGCCUGUGAUAAAGUACGAAUAUUGAAUAUGAAUUGGAGGAAAAUGAAAAUGUUGUUGCUUACUCUGAUAUUGAUUAGUUUAAGGAAGAUCCUCUUCUCAAAGCGGGAUUAGUGGGAAGGCAUCAUCCGAAUCGAAGUUGCAGGUAAGAUCUAUCUUAAGGGAAUAGGCGAGGUUCGGGGCUUGAAUUGAAAGCUUCCCCGUUGAAGAAGGUGCAGCAAAUAGACCUCACAAGAAAGCUUCUUUUAGUCCGUUUGUUAGCACUCUAAGUUAGUUCAGUCGAAAACCUCACCCGAGGGCCACGUCCUGAACUCAUAAACCAAUCGGUGUUGCACACUCUCUUUUAAUGAAUCUUCACUCUUGACUGAGACUGCUAACCCGGAUCUGUGGACUGAGAAUGGCUACCUACACUGUGGAAUGCAUCCGUGUUCUUGCUCCUAUGCUGAUUUGGCGUUUGGCGGGUGAUUCAACGUAUUCGGAUGCCCUAUAUCCUAUCUAUCCCUGACUCGGCUGAUUUUGAAUGGAAUGCCUUCCAACCCUUUCAAAGGAAGAUUCCUUUUCGGCUGACUCUCCAUUGGCUGAUGAUGAUACUUCUGCUUAAGCCGCGUAUUCUCCAGUGGCAUCUGCUUUAAAGGUUAGCUUAGGGCUUCUAUCACACUGUGAUAGCGUUAGGUAGGUGAAAGAGCUAUCUUUGGUGAAAUCCCUGCUUGCUUUCAGCCUCUGUUCCGUGCUUUAUCCUCUAUUCAUUCUAUGUGAAUUGUGCAAACUCCCCGCAUUCUUCCUUCCUACUCCCAAAGGCCAGGGGAAGAGUGGGCCUACUCCUGCUGAAGCAUCGCUUCAUCUGCACUCCAUAGAUUGACUCACUAUUAGCGCCUUCGCUUCUUUUCUUUAGGGGCUCAUAAUAUAAACCCAAGGGUAGCUACGUAAGGAACCACUACGAACUCCCCUAAAACAAAACUCCACUCCCAUAAUUCCUAAAACCGCACCUGGCUCCGAGGAGGAGGGACGGAGGCGGACUUCAGCUAUUAUCAGCCUUUUUUCGUGACAUCAUAUCACUGCAAGUCAAUCCCGGGCUCAAUAUAUCUCUCAAUAGAUUCGCGUGCCACAACGACCGGACAGGAUAGGAGAUCGCCCAACCUUCCAAUAUCUCUUUCUGAAGCAACUAUAACGGAGGGACUGCUUCCACUGGGGAUUUUUUCCCCGCUCCAACUUCGGAUUCUUGGAAAUCAUCCCCGACCAAUGAGAACAAGUCUCAUUGCUUCCGCGAGGGAGCCCGCGGAUAUUGGAGUCGUAGCGCAUAUCUCUUCUCGGGAAGGAUGGCUUAUUCAGAAAGGGACCUAUCUUUAUCUUGCCGGACUUGAAAAGCAGGAGAAGCGGACGGCUGAGAUGGUGGAUUAUUUCCCUCUCACUCCUUUCUUUUUGAUUUUUCAUCGCGAUGAAUGGGAUGAAGGAAGGCCAGCCUGCCCAACAAGUAGACCGGAAUAAUUAGCUUAUAGUCCAACUAGCUUGAGCUCCAGCCCAAGCCUCCAAAUCGAAGCUUCGGAGAGCCUUCUCCCAUGUGAAGAGAUUCAUUCUCUCUCUCCCUCCAACACCAGACAGACCAUGGACAUAUCGUCCGAAUUCCUUCAAUCCUACCAGCCAUUCCUUUCGGGACCCCAGACAAGGAGGGAAUAAAGGCAUGAAGAGUGGAUUUCAUUAAAAACAAGACCUUACCAGCUUGACCUAAUAGGACGGGCACCUUUCCAACCCGAAAGCUUCUUGCUGAAUUUCUCUGUAACUUAAUUCCAAAGUUCAUCUCUUCAUCUUCCCAGCAUACCCUUCCGAAAGAAAGGAAUUGGCUAUUGAACAGCCAAACAUAUUCCGGCCGGCCCUCGUAAUGGGGAUGGAGGAUGAAGGAAGAACACCUUACUUGUUUCAAAAGACGGAAACAGAGAGGGUAGGGCAGUAACGUUUUCUAAUACUGACCUGCAUUCUUAGACUCUUAUUUGCAUGGAUUGGUUUGGACCAAGGCUGCCGCUAAACUUGCCAGCGCAUCGGCAUAAUGAUUCUGUGACCGUGGAACAUGCUCGACAUUUACUUCGAGGAAUUGACUUAGGAUAGGAGCGUGCCUUGAUGAAAGAAAUAAGGCUCGAGAGACCUCUUUCUUACUUAAUAAAUAGUGUAGAUCUGAUUAACGAUCAGUUUCGCCAUACACUGUAAGAGGAUCAAUCUUCAUCUCCAAAGCUAUACCAGCUUCCUAUUCAGCAGCCUUGUUUGAAGCUGCUGAAGUCAGUGUGAACGAGUAAGGGAUCAUUGACCUUUCUGGGGUCAUGAAGACAAUCCCUGCCCCCGCUCCUGGAUGAACCAUCGAUCCUUUUUUAGUUGGGAACUGAACUUUAGCAUAUAAAACUUCUUCAUCAGGUAGAUCAUCUGACAAAUGAGUGUCAUCAGAGGCUGGAUGAGCUGCCAAGAAAUCAGCCAACGCUUGUCCUUUGCCUUACAACAUUAGGGAAACAUCAUGGACAUUUGGAUAAUCCAUAACCUCUUGGUAUUUAUCCUUUAAGAAAGGCUCGAGAGCAAAUACUUGAGCGGAUCUGCUUUCGAUAUGAGCCGAACGGGAUGUUCCAGGAGAUAGUGUCUGAGCUUUUGUACUGCAAACAAGGUAUAUCUUUUCGAAGUUUGAAUAAUUGAACUCUGCGCCCACCAGGGUACGACUUAGUAUAGAGCAACUUCCUUUCCUUCAUCAUUUGUGCAAGCAAGACAAGAAGAGUUCCUAGCGAAUCAGGACGAGCUGCUGUGUAAAAGAUCAGAGGACGUCCUUUGACUAGAGCCCCUAAGACUAGGGUAGGGGAUUUAACAGAUACUCCUUGAUGUCUUCAAAAGCGUUCUGACAUACUUGAUCCCAUUCGAAGGGUAGUCCUGUCUCUCCAUGCAAAUGUGGAGCGCAGCGUGCCUCGUGUGUUACCUCCUUCUAAAGUCAGUCGAUAAUAUAUAUGCUCCUCCAUUUUUUCACUAAGUCUAAGUAAAUGGAAUCUUUUAUAGCCGAAGCUAAUCAAUCUUCUUUCUCCGCUGCCAAACCAAACUAAAGUAAAGCUCUUCUAUCUAUGUUAUAUGUCAGAAGCUUGACUAAUCUCAGCAAGAGGAUCGAUGCUCGCUUUAGUGACAUGCGAGGUAGGUUAAGGCCUCCUUCGCAUUGGCGGCGGAUCCGUACUCAUAGUUGAGUGAAGAAGUCCCUGUCCAUGGCAGGUGAAGGAUCCACUUCCAAUCUCAGUCAAAGUGGUUUCGGUCGGUGAGAAAAAAGAAACAAAUAUUCAAUGAGAGUCGUAGUUCCGAAUAAGCAUAAGAAAGUCUCAUUCCUCAGGGACAAUCCAAAGGAAAGAUUCAGCGAAGGUAAUGUAAUAUCGGGAGUACUCCCGAUAUUACAUUAAAUUGGCCGGUUGUUAGCAACUUCGGUCGGGUUCUAUUUCAUCCUCCGCCUGUGAGCAAAUCCACUUCUUUUCUCAGGACUUCUCGGUGACGACAAAGAAAUGCUUUAGAGCAAUAGCAAUUCGCUGAUUUGAGCAAGACGAACCAACCAGGUUUCUUUCUUCAACAAGAGGAAGUGAAGCCGAACUUCGAAUCCAUUAGAAAGCAAACCUUCCCUCACCGCACCCCGACCCGAAAGUUCUCAAAUAGGCUGGUUUCAGUCCAAUCCAGUGAGUAUGCCAUGCCAAUUCGCUUGAAAGCCUCAGGAGAACCCUUCUAUGAAGAAGCAAUUUCAAGUCUCAAUUCAUCUUCCCAAAAGUUUAUCUUACUUAGGCUAGAAGAGCAAGCAACUCAGCAAAAUAAGCAGUGUGAUGACCUAAAAGGAAAGCCCUUGUACAGACUCUGAAUACUCCCCCACAAGCAGCAGGUCCCCUGGCAAGCGAAGCUAACCUCCUCUUAGAAAAGGGAUUAGGCAUAAGAAGAAGUUUAUGCUCGCUUAGAAGCAGAAGGCGAGCUAGCAGUGGGAAAGUACCUUGGGCAUCAUCCGAAGUCUUAAUCUUCCAGGUAGGCAGAAGAAGAAGUUUCUCUUUGGUACUCUGAUCUUUCUUAAUGAAGUGUUCUAGCGCCAAGCCGCUUGAAAGCAAAUGGGACCACUUAAUUAAAUAGAGGGCAGGCGGGCUAGAUAAUCUAAGGAGAGAAACGGUGUUCAUACGAGAGUAGCCAACGGAAGGGGCGAAGUAGCUCCGCAGUCAAUCAAGUUAAGUAAGUAGGCUCGCCCAAAGGAAGUUCCGUAGUGAGUCAAGUAAUAACACUAAAUGAAUCUAUAAUAAUUUUCAAUAACAUAAGUUACCAUAAAAUAAAGAAAUGAAAUCCAAGAAGUCAACCACGGCACGGGCAGAAGAAAUGGAAGCGUUAGCUGAUGCGCAUGGGAUUGUAUUGGACUUAUUUAUGAGUAGAUAAAACCUCUCGCCAGUGUGAAGCUAUAUGCCGACUAAGUCUUCCUCAAUGAAUGUCCUGAAUAGGAUAGGAUCUUUAGCACUACCGAUACGAUAGCUCAGAAAGCUCCACUCAAUUGAGAAUAUCACGGAAGAAGAAGAAGAUUAUAAGUCAAGGGGAAGACAGCACAAAGUAAUCCGACCUGGCAGUGAAGAAGAAGAAGUGGGGGUAGAACAGAUGGGUCAGAGAAAUUCCUAGGAUUAGCAAGCACGGCUUAGGCGGAAGCAGAGAAUCCCAUUCAAUCCGGCUUUCUAGUUAUAUUGAUUCAAAGGCACGGCUUAGAACUGGCUAUCUGCUUUCGAGCUCGCCAACGGCAUCAUCCGUCUCGUCAACCGUUCCUCUCUCAAGUAAAGGGUACGAAGUAUCAAGUCAAGAGUCAAAGAAGGAUCUUCAAGAAGAGCUCGAGUUAGGGAUUAUUGACCAAUACAGAGGGAUUUCCCAGCAGAGAAGGUGGGUAGAGAAGGGAGGGAGAGGCAACCUCGUAACACGGCAUUAGUACAAGAGAGAUAUGAAUAGGUUGGGGGAUACAUAGUCACACGUACAGUCGGAUGGUUACAGCGGUGAAACUCCGUAGUUGAAUAAGAAAGUUCCGUCUCCAGGGAAGGACAAAGGAAAGAUUCAGCGAAGGAUAAGGUUUCAUGAGAUCUUCCGGUUUAGCUCCUUUACUUUACCUUUUGAAUAACUUUCUAGUAAUCCGGUAAUAAAGGCAAUCGCCCUUUGACGAAUAAGCGCUAGGGGAUAUUCAAAGCAUGACGGAAGAAAGGACGAGCGGUUACUCUAGCAGCGGCCAAACCAACCCUAAAACAGCGGAUACGUUCUAAACCGAUUCUUUCACAACUUAUUAUAUCACCCCCGGUUCACUUCACUCCCUAAAGGCAGAUUAAGACUAAGGCUACUCUCCGGAGGCAAGGAAAGAAAUAUUCAAUCAACCAAGCAAAGAACCGAGACCACUACCACAGUCUUCACCAAGACAGCAGGAAGGAAGAGAGUCAAGACAGAAAGCCAAGACAGUCAUACAGGCAUUGGUUACAGACAGGCAAACCAGAGAUCGAAAGAGUCAAAGCCAAGGAUAAAUCCCGGGAAAGGGAAACCCGAGAAGACCGUAUUCAUGUGCAACUGAUUCAAUAGGACCGGUUAUGAACCCAAGAGCGGAUAGGAGUACUCAUACUCAAGGAUCGGAAGCUCUCACAGCGUCAAGGCAAAGAAUCACUCCUAUUGGAAGAAGAGCGUUUACGAUCAGAGCUAGAAGAGUGGGAGGGAAUGAAAUAGCAAUUGCAGCUACUUCUGUGCGUGGCUAUCUUCUCCUAUUGAUUAACGUCCUUCAAAGAGCGUAUUCUAUUCCUUCUGUCCGUGGGUGCAGCUACUUCUAAACUUUAUAACUGAAGCUAGCUGACUGGUUAACUACUGGCCCGCGUUACUUUAGCGUUGCGGACAGUGAUCUUCGCAAUCUAUCAUCCUGCUUUUAAAAUCCUUCUUCUUUCAGAGGGUGUUAUAUCCGAGAGGACAGUCCUUACUUUGAUGUCCUUUCCGUUCAGUAUGGACGUUAAGGUAGAGGAGCGAAGCCUCUUUUUAUUGAUAUUGAUUGUAAGGCUGCGUUCUUUCUAGGCUUCUGACUUUUAGUUAUUGUAAGUCAGUUCUCAGGAACUGGAAGGCCGGCCAGGAUAUGGCAGAUGACCUUAUUAUUAUUUACUCCGUACCCUGUCGGAAGACUGGGCUUCAAGGAAGAGGGAGCUGGGAAGAGGCGCAUUUUCGCUAUUCCUAACGCACUGAAGCAGGCUCUCUCUGUCUGUUUCGACUUGCGCAUAAGUGUAGGAAGGUCUUGCGUACUAUUCCAAUGGAUGAGAAGACUGAACCGCUUGCGCGGUUGAGUCCGAUAAGCUGCGUAGUUUUGAUCUCUCUUCGGCGACGGAUCGUUUUCCGUUGUCCUUUCAAAAUCUCUUAAAGAAUCCUUAGCUAAAGCUUUUUUUAGCCGUCUGGCUUAGCUCAUGGAAUAGUAACUCUUCCGCUAUAGUAGCUCUGGAGUGAACGAAAAGCCCUGUUUUGCCCGAUACCCUCUUGCUUAGUAAGACCUUAUUUCUGAGCCUUCCCCUACUUCUUUUGAGUCAUCUUGGAUGAGAAGACAGAGACCGACUUCAUCGACUUCCAAUGUCCGUGUGGAAUGCAAUUUUCUCGCUGAAGUGGAGGCGCUUUCCGCUGGGGCAGACCAUUCUUGUGAGAACGAAGGCUGAUCCAAUCCGGGGUCUCUCUUGAACCAGCCAACUCUCUAGGGAAGACGACUAGCUAGAUGGUCUUUGAGUCAGAAUUCGAACUUGUUGACGCGGAGAGUGACCAAAGGCAAGGGCUAUCUGAACUCUUCUUUAUAUACAGAAUUCUCAGUCGUAGGACUGAAAUAAAGACUUUCAUUUCUACUUUACUGAAAUAUCUACUUUCCCAUCCGAGUGACAUGACCCUAACCCUGUCAACAGUCCUUUCAAGUGGGAUGGGAUAAGAACUCAACAGAUUCAAUAUCAUAUGAGAACAUAGGCUGUCAUUUCGACUUUCCUAGUUACCUAAAAUAGGAAGUGGAAUCCCAAAAAAGAGAUACGAAGCUGGUAUGAAAGAUGUUCUUCCUAACUCCCUUUAACUUCGGGGAAAGUUGGUGGUGUCAUGAUUAAAGCAGUACUGAGCUACAAGGAAUGGAUCGGAGGCGGUAACAAGACGGAAAGCUACUCUUCUUACCUAGAUUCAAGUUAUCCCAGGGGCGCAGCGUCCGCUUCGAAUAUAAGAAAAAGAUACCUUCAGAAAGAGCAGCAUUCCGUUAUCGCCUAAGGCAAUGAAAUUGUAAAGUCCCUAGAGGAGCUUACGAUCGGAGUUUUCCUAUCUGUAACGGUAGGAGCAUUAGUCAACCAUAUAUGGCAUCUGUCUUAUCUUUCCCCCAAAGGGCUCGCAGAUGAGGAUCUUGGGGCAUUAAAACAGGGGGGUGGGCAUGUGAGCAUCUAUUUGAGGCAGUUUCACAGGCCUUGGGGAUAGGGAUAUAGAGACUUUGAAGCAAGGCUUCGCCCCUAUCUCUAAAGGGGCUUACUUCGAGUAUUUAUGACUCUGGUGGCAACACGUGACAGGCGAAUGACAUGAUUCUCGAGGAGUUAGACGACGGCCAUGUGAUGAUGCAUCAAAUAGAUGCAAGGGUGGAUGACUCAGCUCAGUAGGUCCUUGUAUGGACUGAUGUUGUUCCCCACUGGGAGAGCUUUAGAGGGAAUAGGGGUGGACAUCUAUAUGGGCUUCAUGUGAUUCGAAGCCAACCACUAUGUAUUGCAAGAAAGUCCUAUGUGUAGCUAUGUAUACCUAAUGAAAACCUUAAAGAACCUCUUAACACUUACCUGCCUAAACCAAGCAAGAUUCAAGAAUCAAUCCAUUACCAGAAAGAGACGGCUCAGCCAAAAAACGUGAGCGCCCCUGCGCGAGCUCUGCAAUCAAACAAAAGCGCUAACGCGCUUUACUAAUAUAAUAUAUAGGGCUUUUCUCGCUUGUUUAGUAAAGUCAAGCUUUGGCUUUGUUUCACUUCCUUAACGGACCUACGGACUAGCUAAGGUUUACUUACAUAGUUGUUCUUUCUUUUCGCAAUUUCAAGUUAAAGCUAGCGUUUUUCAGCUUGCUGUUUGCUUUGGUCGAGUAGCCGCCUUACGGCCCUUCGCUUUUGAAUGAAAUCAGCAGUAAGAAAGAGUAAGUAAGUGUUCUCUUUCUUUCCUCUGCUUAUUCCGCCCAACGAAUCGGCUUUCCGCUCGACCAAAUAAAAAAAUGUCCGGUUAGGAUAUGUGGGGAAGAAGCUCCUAGCAUAUCUAAGGAUGACUUUCGUUUCAUAUUCCAGUCUUGCAAGAUCCGAAUAGGAUUUCAAGGCUAUGAAUGUCGAAUGGUCCCAUAUGCGCUUUCGCCCGCCCCUGAAUAAGCAGUAAGGCGUGGGCGCGUUGGAACGAUCCCGCUUUGAAAGCUCAACCUCGGGAGAAUCAUAACUCCGCUACCAACAGAAAGCGGGAUCUCGACCAGUCCGGAAUCUGAUCACCUGGGCGGUGACUAACCCAGGCAUUUGAACUUGACUCCCGCUUAAACGAGAAAAAAAAAAGCCCUAUGCUACAGACUCGGGACAGAAAGAUUCGUAUUGAAUGAAUGCACCGUUACUUCCUUUCGAGAUCUUUUAAUGAAUGGUCGGAGAUGCAGCCGGUCAGGAGGAGGGGGCCCACGUGCAGCUUUUGGCGCACCCCUAUCACGUAAGGGGAGGAUAGGAAGAACGGAUAGAAAGAUAGUAGGUAGAGCGAUUGGUAGAGAGAUAGUGGGUAGAUGGAUAGUAGGUAGAAGGAUUAGACUUGACUUACCUCCAUAGUGACUUCAGAUUAUACUGACCUUUGACUUACCUAAUCACAAUGAAGAAGCAGCUACGGAUAGACAAAGAGCUUACUUAUAGGGGAGGGGAGGGGACUGAAGCACUCGACUAUCAAAGCCUGCGUAGAAAACAGAAGUGCGCUCAGCAAGAAAACGGCUGCGCGUUAGCGCUUUUGUUCAAUUAUAAAUAAAGAACCACCUUUGAUGGAGAUUUGUAGCAUCAUUCAAGUAAAUACAGAUUGAGAUCGUAGAAACAUGAGCUUGUGAUAUAGCUACACCUAAUUCCGGACCGGUUAAUGCAAGAACUAUAAAAAAAGGACCAGGAUCCCCUAUGAAAUAUAAAAGAUCAUUCAUACAUAGCAUAGUCCAAGCGAACCCACUUAAAAUCUUUACUGAACUAUGACCGGCCAUCAUAUUAGCAAAUAAACGUAUUCCUGAGCUUAAUGCGCGAAAACAAUGAGGGAUUAGCUCAAGGAGUACUAAAAAAGGUGCUAACGGCAGUGGGACUCCUGCGGGUAAUGAGAAGCUUAAAAAAUGAAGCCCAUUUCUUUGAAAUCCCACUAUAGUAAUGCCAAUAAAAAUAGAAAAUGAGAGACCAAGAGUAAUGAGAAAAUGACUUGUAACUGUGAAGCUAUAAGGUAUCAUACCCUGGGGAUUACGAAAUAACGAAAAAGUAAAAGUGACCGAGAUGCGAGGGAAAAACUUUUGUUUAACAUUUCCGGAAAGACCACCAAUUUGUUCGUUUACCGGGUUCGGCACGAAAUCAUGAAUAAACUCUACCAAGGAUUGCCAAGCAUUUGGUACUGGGUUUCCUCCUCCGUUUUUAGUAACAAAAUGAACCAGAAGUAGGACCAAACUGAGAGUUAGCAGCAUAAACAAAGAUGGAUUUGUGAAUGAGAAAUACAAGUUUCCUAUAUUCAUAGGAAUCAAUGGGAGAAUGGAAAAUUGCUCAAGGGGGCUGUGGGUUCUCGCGCCCCACAAAUCAUCCAUUAUGUCGAGCGCUUCUUGAUAAUAUUGACUAUGAAGCCCAUAGAUAUUCACAUUUUCCCAGAUUCCCUUUAGUGUGGGUAUAUCAUUGGUCUUGUUGUUGUUAUGGACCUGAUUCAUCACGUACGGAAUUGUAUAGCCUUCAGGCAAGUGUUGAAGUCCCUUCUCUUUGAGUAGAAAUUCGAAUCUAUCAGAGAGUUGUCCCCUGAGAGUCUCGGCACCAAUCUCAGAAAUCUUUUCGCGGUAAUUAGUUUGAUCUAGAUCAGGAAUCCAUGCGGCUCGGAUAAAAAUCAAAGUACUGAUAGAUUUGCACAGUCCCAAGCUACUUACGUAGGUGCCUAUUUCUGUCGGCGACAUCGUAAAAAAGAAAUUAUUGUAGUUCCGCUUCUCGUUCUAAAAAGAGAGACUUGUCGGAAAUAGCCGGUUGGGUUGGUCCGACCAAGAAAGGCAUGGGAGUCUUUGGGCAUUGCUUGAGCUAAGUCAAGCUUGGGCUGAGUUAAGUAAAGACUGGCUACCUAGUGAUUUACAACCACCCCCACUGCACACUUUUUAUAUCUCUGUCUCCCGGCUGCAUGCUAUCGGAGAGAGCAAUGGGAGGUUCAGUCAAAAGCAUUUACCGCGCACUUCAAUCCAAAGAAGCAAGACGAAUCUCUCUUUCUUUCUAUACGCAAUUUCGAUAAGAGUUUAGCCAGCUCGUCUCUGCCUUGAGGCCAAUAACCAGUGACUCUUUUGUUAACCACAUGUAGAAUAUCUUGUGUAGUCGGGUAGGCUAACUAGAAUCUAUCUUUCCUUUACUUUAGUGUGUAACCGAUUUAUAUGUUAAGCUCCCCUUUUUUUUCUCUCCUUUGCUUUUGCUCCUCUUUAAAGUAAAGCUGCUUCUUAGAGUUGGCUUUUGCAAUUGCAAUCUGUCUCUGGCUCCUCGCUUUGAACUCAAAUAAGACCUUCUUUUGGUCGAGUGACUUCGUUCCAGGUCUUCCUAUUCCCUUCGCUUCCCCAGCCGCUGCCUCUAAGGCCCAAGUACUUUUUUUGUUUGAUCAAAUGAUUGAUUUAGAUUUAGAAUUCCUCUUUACCAAGGGAAGAGAGCGUGGAUCGGGUGUCCUCUUGGAUGUUCAAAACCAUCAUCUUGGACUUCCAGCAUUUGCUUCAGACAAAAAGUUUGGGACUCAAAGUUUGCCCUCAUGAGGCAGGGAAAAACUUAAAAAUGUGUCUUUUACGUAACUUGGAUAGCUGAGUGGUCAAUCCUGCACCAAUCGUUGAUGAGUUGUCUCGCUCGAAAGCUAUGACCUGCCCCCCGAACUCGGUAUCCAUUCUGCCUGAUGGUUCACUCCUCCGAAAGGCUAUUGAAACAAGUCCUGAUCCGAGACUUCUCUUAAGGGAAAACCUGAAAAAAGGAUUUCGAGCAGGGUCCUCUGCUGGCGUAUUCUUUCUUUUUCUUUAUUAUGGCGCUUCCAAGUUGAUGUUUUUUUUUAGCACGCGUGCCUCCGUCCCAAAAAAAGAUGUAUAUUCCGGACAUUCUGUCGUGGGUGCUACUAGAAAGAAUUGUUAUUCGACCGAUUGAUUUGCAUUUUUUUAUGUAACAAAGAGGUGGAUCAAAGGCCUCGUCUCUGUACCCUGCCGUAGAGGAUGGGCCUUCAAGCGUACAAAAUUCUUGUUAAGAAAGAUUGGAUUAAGCUUAGUCGCUGCUCACGCACGGAGCUCGCCCUCUAUUCGACGAGGAGUAUCGGGAAUCACGAUGCAAGUUAUGCGACUCCUACCGCCGCUGCCAUAGACCAAGGUUUGAACAAGUCCAGUGGUGAACCUACAGGAUGCCCGCGAGGGUCUCGACCGUUCUCAAACGAACUUCUAAGAAUGACCGCUAAACAUAAAAGAUUUUCUAUCAUAUAGAAACAUGUAUGAACCAGAGCUAGGGGCCUUUUCCUCAAGGAGUGUUCAAGAAAGACCAAAAAAAGAUCGACUUUCAGUGAUUCGACCCGAAUGAAAGCCACAUGACACUUUCGAUGGCAUUUAAAAAAGGAGAACCUUUGUACCGUGGAUGUGACGUGCGAAUGAACCUGAUGAUGCCGUUUUAUUUAAGCAAUUUUGGCACUCAUCACUGGUAAGGACCAGGCAGAUGCUCUCCGAAAUGGGUUUGUUAAGCAUCAAAAGUUGAAUUCUGUUUUUGCUUCUAUUAUUAUUAUUAUUCUAUUUUGAGUUUAUUUAGAGAAAUGGAUGGAAUAAGAAUGGAAUGAAACAAGCCAAGAAGGCAGGAUUUUUUAAGACCUAAUAGGGUCAUUCUUUUUGAAAGACGUAGGGGAUGCAGGAUAGCCUCGACGAUUCUCAUUUUGAUUCCGAGACUCUGUUUACCCAGUCGAUGGGCCCCUUUUUCCUUCCUCACCCUUUCUUUCUCUUUCUGGGACUCUCUAUUUUCGCUUUCGACUAAUUCUGUUCGGGAACCAGUCUUACACGCCACCUGUGGUUUCCGGGAUGGUCGUUCUGCUUGGGACAUGUCUGCUAUGUCUCCAGCUUUAUCCGGGCGAGGGCCCGAAGCAAGGCAAAAAUCGAGCAUCGAAGUGAGCAUAUAAGAAGAAGUGCUUAAAACUCAGUAAAUGGGCGACCACCUUCAACAUGAAUGACUUUCUGGAAGCAGGCUAUGCCGCCACACCUCCCCUGUGAAAGAGGGCUACGCAGCUGAUUCGGUUAAUCACAUGUCAGAACAACCGCUAGGGAUCUAUUUGUCAUUACCAAGACGGAGGCUUCGGGUCACCCUUUUUCUUCUUUCUUUGCUAAGCUCUUCCAUUUUUGGAGUGAACCCGAGUCUAAUAAAAAUUUCUUUUUUUGAAAAGGUCCAUGUCUGCUUGUUCUUCUGUACGGCCAUAUGACAAGUCAUUUGCGAACAUUUCGGGAACCUUGUGUGGUCUUUUUGUUCCAAACAUCGCAUUCAGUAUUGCUGGUUUCUUUUUAAAAGAGCUAGCUCAUUAGCUAUGGGGCUUGUUGAAAGCAUCUACUCGAGUGUCUCGAUAAACGUACCAGUCAUCUCAACAUUCCAAAUUCCUAUGUUUCUAGCCAGCAGCCUAUUACGUAAACAGCUUUGUCAACUAAGACAUAUAUAUUGGAAAACUAAUCCUUUGGCCAGGUUCAGUAAAGAGAAAGAAAAGGAUAAACCUUUGGUGAUUAGUGAAGCUAACGAUCGAUAUAAGCUCAAACAAUGGUGGUGUAGUCGCUUUCCUAUGCCCUCCCCUCCUUGGAGGAAGUGUGGCAAGAUUGACCGAUUCCUGAGAGUCAUGAACGAGCUCCUGCUGGCUGGCUAACUGGAGACAGCUUCUUAUAAAAGUAAAAUAAGCCGAUUGAAAGAACUUAUGCCCGUAAUGGAUAGAAAUAGAAUUGGCUAACUCCACUCGUGGCUCCUUUAUCUUCUUAAUUUAAAGAAAACCUGUUUGGUUUUUCAAGUGAGCAGCUAGUUCACUACUAUUGAAUAGCAGGAAAUUGACUGAAAAAAGAGGGAAAACUCUUUAGUCAAUCCUGACCUUGUAUCCCUUCUUUCUAAGUAAGGGUACCGGUUAGCAAAUAGCCUGGCAUUGAUUAAAGAACUUGAGGAAGGAACUUUAUUCUCCGAUCUCAAAAACGAGGACUCUUUUGAUCUUGGCUCUUUUCUGAGCGACUCUUACUGGCUCUUAGUUUAAGACUAAAGCCCCCAUCUCCUCUGUAUUCCAAUUGCAAAACUAAAGCUGGUCUUAAGCCAGCGUUUAGUGCCUCCUGACUAAAGGAUUAAAUGAUUUUUGCUUUACAUUAUCGUAAGCACAACAAAACUAUUCCCAUUCCUUAAGCUCGCCAGCAUACCGUCUUGUUAAAUAGUUAAAAACGAGUCGUCGAGCCUCUGUUUUAAAGAUAAAGCGCUUUAUCCACUUCUGUUUUAGGGGGCCCCACAGACAGCGAAAAAGAGGCCUUCAAACGCACAACAAUUUCAAAUCAAAUAAUGUCUAUAUACUACUGAUGCCACCAGUAGAAAGAGAAAGAACCUCCUCGGGAAGUUGCCCGGUAUCCGCACUAGUUCUCUUCUUAGUCUUUAUUAAAGACACCGCUUGGCCACUCUUCACUCACGAAAGCCAAAAACAUUGACAUAACCCAUUCCUCUAAGCAUUCAAGGGCUUAUGGAUUCAUGGCCUCAAUGGGUCCAGAGUGUGAGUAAGCCAGUACACCAAUACCAAUGAAGUAAUCCAGGAAAGUUUGACUGGGAGCAAAAAAGUAAGCCGGUUGACUUUCCUUGAUUCUCGAAUCCCCUGUUUGCGCCUUAACUGACACAAAGGAGGAAGGAAGCGUAGCAAGAGCAAUAGCCAAAGCCAACCUUCUUUCUUUGAUAUUAUAGCUCGUGGGGCAAAAAGUCCUUUGCUCCUAUAGAUUCUAGUUCUGUAUACACCCCCUUGACUAACUCACAGAAAAGACAAUUUAAAAGAGUACGUACAUACACUUUUAAAGAAGAGCACUAACGGGACUCUAAGUUAAGAGAGGGUGAAAGUGAGCUUUACUACUUUACUCCACUACUUCCUUCCCCGCCUAUCACUUUGGAUUAGUGGAUUUAGAUACCUCGUCCAAUCCAGAUUUUGAGUCAGUCUGUAUCCAUUCUCCCCUUUUACAGGCGGACCUGACUCUACUAAAGAACUUUAAAUUUGCAAACUCUUUCACUUGAUCUCCAGUGAAUACUGAACCCUGAUCGGCAGUAAUAGUCUGUGGAAUACCAAACCACAGAAUAAUGUUUUCUUUCAGGACUUUGAUGACUACCUCCUGAUUCACAUUUUUUAAAGGGAUGGCUUCCGCCCACUUGGUGAAAUAAUCAAUCGCAACAAGUAUAAAUGUAUGUUGCUUACUUGAUGGCGGAUAAAUUUUGCCAAUCAAGUCAACUGCCCAUCCUCUGAAUGGCCAUGGUUUGACUAGGGGGUGUAAAUAAGCAGCCGGGGCGCCUUUUGAAUGGGUCCAUGGAUCUGGCAAGCCUUGCAUCCUUUAGCGUACUGAUUACAAUCUUUCUCGAUACUAGGCCAGUGGUAGCCAUGUCUCCGGAUUAACCAUCUCAUCUUGACUCCGGCCUGGUGAGCUCCGCAAAUUCCUUCGUGGACUUCUGCCAUUACAAGCAUGGAUUCAUGUUUGCUCAGACAUUUGAGGAGCAAUCCAUCCACACUUUUCUUGUAGAGUUGGCCAUCGAUCAACACAUAUCUUAAGGAUCUAAGUUCUUUUUUUCUGUCCGUUUUCACACUAGGAUUCUUAAGUCAAUUUAUAAUAGGAGUUCUCCAAUCUGACUCACUCGAGUCAACCCGCAUAACUUCAAAAUUGGAGUUUCCCUAUCAAAGAUCGAAGCCAAUGAGCCUUUCUGAACCGUGAUAAGUUUCUAAAAUAUGCCACUUAACUCCCGAGGCAACUUGAGCCAUCUCGUUGGCUUCUUGGUUCAGACUCCUGGGAGUGUAUUGGAUAGUAAGAUCCAUGAAUCUAUUUAGCAAUUCGGUAGCCAGAGCAUGAUACUCAGCUAAGGAAUCGCUUAGGCAUCUAUAUUCCCCAGUCAAUUGUUUUAUGACUAACUGAGAAUCACCAAUGAUUCUAACAGUUAGGAUCUUCAUUUCGAUUAACAUUUCCAAGCCAAUAAUUAGGGCUUCAUAUUCAGCUUAGUUGUUGGAACAAACGAAAUCAAGGUAAAAAUACAAUUUGUUUUUCUGCCUGUAGAGGAUAUAAGGAUUAUCCCUGCACCUGCCCUCAUGUCAGUCUUGGAUCUGCCAAACAUAAGGAUCCAUGCAGUGACACUAAUCAUAUUUCUUUCUCUCAUGACUUCUUCAGCCCGAUUCCUCGAAUUUCACUCGAAAAAUAAAAACUUGCAUUGAAAUCACGUUUUUAUUAGUAAAUGCUGUUCUUUCAAUUCUACUCCUAGUAGGCCACUCACUAACUUCAAGGCUUAAUUAAGAGUUCUUGCUUCAGGAAAUUCAUUACAUUAACAGUUCCUUCUGCACACGCGGAGCUCUUCUAUAAAUAACAAAUAGGGAGAUCAAACUAGAAAAUCCAGUCUAAAAUCAGAUUGGCAUACACCUCUAGUACUUCACUUCCAAACAUGACAGCCCCAGAAAAAAAAACACAUUUUCUUACAAAAGAAAUUAUAGGCAUAGAGACGAACUCCUUCACUAUUGGAAUAAACGAAUUCCUUCCUUCACUCCGGGGAAAGGAGAGAGACCGAUCAUUAUGACCGGGCCGACAGGUUUUUAUCCCUUAGAAGGGAAUACAUUUAUUAUAAAGAACGAAAUCAAUCGCGUACUUCACCCCUACCCAUUAUGCGAGCUACUCCUCCUAUACGAAAAUAAUUAUGCAUCAUUCUCAUACCGGUGGCAGCUUCGAAUAGAUCAUAGACUAACUCUCUUUCUCUGAAAAUAUAGAAGAAAGGAGUCUGUGCACCAAUAUCUGCCAUAAAAGGGCCAAGCCAUAAUAAAUGAGAAGCUAUACGACUCAACUCCAACAUAAUCACUCUAAUAUAGCUGGCUCUUUUAGGUACUUGAAUAUUUCCCAACUGCUCUGGUGCAUUUACGGUUAUUGCUUCUGUGAACAUAGUAGCUAAAUAAUCCCAACGUGUUACAUAAGGCAAAUAUUGUAUAAUUGUUCGGUUUUCUGCAAUUUGAUCCAUCCCUCUGUGCAAAUAACCUAGUAUUGGUUCACAGUCAAUAACAUCUUCACCAUCUAAAGUAACGAUGAGUCGAAGAACACCGUGCAUUGAUGGGUGAUGAGGACCCAUAUUGACUAUCAUGAGGUCUUCUCUUGUAGCUGGUACAUUCAUAGGUUUUCCCCUGAUUCAUUCUUCCAUGAAUUGCUGAAAACGAAAAGAAGUUCAUCAAAAUUCAAGAUCUACUAAAUCAAAUAAUUCAAAAGGACUCUUCAAAUUAACGAAUUUUUGUCUCCCGAAUACCCAACUGACCAAUUAAUUCUUUAUAACGUACUCUAUUUUUCUUUGCCAAAUAAGACAGCAACCGUUGACGUUUUCCCAGAAUUUUCCGUAGACCUCUCUGAGAUAAAUAGUCUUUUCUGUGCAAUUCCAAAUGUGAAGUAAGUCUUCGGAUCUUAUUGGUGAAACUGAAUACUUGAAAUUCAACAGAUCCCCUAUUUGCUUCUUUUUGAGAAAUAACUGAGAUGAAUAAGUUUUUUACCAUAAAACGAAAUCUUCUCUUCCCUCCCUUUUUUUCUUUUUUUUUUAUUUGAAUUUAACCCAUCAGUAAUAUAAUAAUAUUAGAAUUAUAAUAAUAAUAUUAUUAUGCCGGUCAUUUUAAUCUAGUAUACGCAAUAAUCUGAAUUUCGUUAUGGAUACCUCUAUUAUCAAAUAAAAUGAAUCAAUAUCAAUAAAAAAUCUAAUUGAUACGUAUUAGUAUCAUGCAUCAGAAUGUAAUGUAAGACAUCGCAUGUGUGCAUUUGUUUACUUUCAUAUACUAGAUCUAGUAAGGAUAUAUAAAAAAUGUGACAUCAACGAAUUUUCAAUCGUGGAUACAUAUGUAUCCUUAUCAUACUAAAACAACUACCAUUAUUGGUAUCAAACCAAUAGCGAUUCAUACAAGCUAAAUCUUCUAAUCGAUAAUUGGGCCAGAGAAAGAACUUUCAUUUUUUUAAUUUAAUUAAUUGAUUUUUAUCUCUAUCAAGAUGUUUGUUUUCAUCCAAAAAUUUAUUACAGCUGUUCCCAUUGCAAAAUACUGGAUUUCUAGCCACACCACUCCUAUUCCUCAAAUUGAAACAAAUUAGAAUUCUAAAUUUUCUACGACGUCUAGGCGAUAAAAUAUUUUCAGGAACAAGCAAAUCAUAAUGAUUUUUGUCUUUAUUUCCAAUCAUCUUUUGACAUCUUGCACUGAAUUUAUCAAAAUUCUUAUUAUCAACAUAUCUUUCUUCUCGGUAUCUUUGAUUAGUUUGGUACUUACUCUUAUGAACCAAUGAAAUACCUAUAGUUUGAUACAUAAUAAAUUGUCCAUCAUUUUUUACAGACAGACGAAUUGGUUCGAUAAUAAAUAUACCUCUUUUCAUUUUCAUCAAUUCUGUAAGAGUUAAAUCUUUAUGAACCGGUAUUAGAUCCAGACUCAUUUCUCCCCUUUGAAUAGCAGAUAUACAAAUUUCUCUUGGAUUUAUCAGUCUAAGCAGGAGACAAUAUACCUUGAUAUUUUUGAUCAUUUUUUGAUUUAAAGAAUCAUCCCAUCUCAAUUGAAAAAGCAAAUAUCUUUUUAGGAAUAAAUCGAGUUCUGCUUCCGUGUGAUUCUUGAAUUGCUUUUUCUUUGUACGUUUUUGCAUGUCUGAGUCUGAUCCUGCAUAAUCUUCUUCAAUAUCUUUUUCGUGGUUUGAGAGGACUGAUUCAAGAUUUCCUUGGUUUUGUACAUCUGAUCCAAGAUCUACUUGUCCUGCGGAUUCUUUUUCUUCUUGAUUUCGAUUCUCUAAUUUAAAAAGUUUUUUUUUUUAUUUGCCAGGGGAUGAUAUAAAAAGAUUCCCUUUUUGCUUUCUAUUGCUUUUUCUAUUUUUACUAUAAUUUAUAUUUCCAUUAAAAUUUAAAAGAAGUAAUUUGAUUGGUAUAACCCAGGGUUUCAUUUUAUAUGUAUUAUAAAGUAGCACAAAUUCUGGGAAGAACCAAGGUUCCAGAUUCGAUAUGGAACGAUUUAGUAUUUCUUCAUUCAUCCCCAUCCAAUCAAAAAGUCUUAAAGAUUGGAUGGUUUGAUUUCUUGAUCUUGUGUGAGAUAAAAAAGACCUUUCUUAUCAAUUAUUUGAUAAUUAUUCGACCCGGUCUUGGUAUUUUUAUUACUGUUGAUACUGGUAUUGAUCCAGACCUCAAUAUCGACCUUCUUUCUAAAGCAAAAAUGGAGAAUUUUCCAAUCCAAAUAUUUUCUAUCCGGGUUUUUCUUUAUAUACUCUAUAUACAUAAUAUCAUCUUCGCCUAGGUAAUUAUUGAUAGGGAUACCUUCCAGCAUAUCAAAAAAUUUGCGUUUAUGUGUGUUGUAAUUAUAAGAAAUAUCUUGGUUAUUAUUUACUUGUAAUGGUGAUCCAUAAAUAUAUGAGUCAUUCUUAUCUUCAUAAUAUAUAUAUAUUUAUGAUAAAAGGUCAUAUCUAUAGUGUUUUUUAAAAUUUGCUUUUUGAUUCGUUAAUGAGUCUGCUUCAUAAUCAUUUUGUUUGUUGUAAUGAAUUAAUUGAUCUUUUUGAGAUAAAUCCCAUUUGCUUAAAUCUUUAUUUUGAUUUUGAGCCACACAAUGUUGAUUUACUCUAUUUCGCCACUUUUGUGGUACUAAUCUAGACCAUAUAAUCGGAGAUAAAUAUUUAUAUUGAUAAUGACCUCUUAACCAGUUUUUCCAUUGAUUCAUUCCAGAAUUACGAAGUUUCUUAUGUCUUAAUUCGUAAUGAAAUAUUUCGUGUGCUCCAAAACCAAAAUAAUCUUUUCUUUCGUUCUUAAGAAAAAGAGAUGUUCCGUUAUAUUGAAGGACAGAUCUUAACUUAUACAAGUUAAUAACUUGGGUUUGUGAUAAUUUGUAAAAUACAUAUGCUUGUGACAAGGAGGAUAAGUCACAAAAAAUCUGUGAACUCUUAUUACUAAUAUUAGAAACUGACCUUUUUAUAAUCGAAAUAAAGUGAAUUUUCUUUUGAUUUGGUUUACCAAUUCUUUUUUGAUUUCUUUCAUUAUUGUAAAUGUAUUUAUCAAUAAUUUUUUUUGUUGAUUCAAUAAAAAAUUGUGCAUUGGUCCUGGGAAUAUUAAUGAGACAUAGAAGAAUAUCUAUGUAUAUCCUUUCAAUGAAAAAUUUUAUAAAAUAAUGUAAUUUGCGAAUUAAUCGAGAAUUCCUUCUUUUUAAUAUUUGCCAAAUACUUUUUUGUGAUUCUAAUCUUUUAGCAUUAUAACUAGCUUUGUUAGGGCUAAUAUUUAUCUCUGGAGUUAGAAAGAGUUUUUUCUUGUCUUUUAUAAUUUUUUCUAUUUUUUUUCUGAUUGUGCUUGUUCUAUCAGUCAGAUCUUUCACUUUUUUUUCUGUCAGUGAAUAAUUUGUCCAAUUCAUAGAUCGAAUUUGAAUAGACGAUUUGUGAAUCAUCUGAUUAUUGAUUAUCGAAUCCUUUUGUUUUUGAGUUUCACUAGAUUCAUAUACUUCUCUCAAUCCAAAUAAUAGAGUUGGAUUUAUUUUUAAGAGUUCUUUUAUUAUUUUUUUUCUAUUUUAUAAUAGAACACUUUUGAUAACCCAUUUUUUUGUUUUUUUUGAGACCCUUAAAAAUAUAAACAAUUUUGUUCGUUCUUUUAAAACUGUUAGAACUAGAAAACACUUGUUUUUAAAUUUUCUAAUUCUUUUUUCAAGUUCUUUCAAAAUGGGUUUAAAAAAGGAAGGUCGUUUUCGGGGAGAACCAAAAGGCAGAUCAGUUUCCAUUCCCCAAACUGUUAAAAAACAAAAUUUUUUGACUUUAUCUUUCAUUGAAUCUUUAUCAAGGGACCUUUCUUGAGGUUUGUGCCAAGGUUUCAGACAGAAAGGAAAUAGGAUCUUUAUUUGAAUACCGUCUCUUAACCAGUUUUGCGGAAAUUCUGUUUCUGAUAAUUGAACACCAUUAUAGGUGCAUUUAACAUGCAUUUCUCGAUUCCAAUCCUUUAAAUCUUCGGACCACUCGGGAGAUUGAAAUAAUAACAUACGACCGAUGUUUUUAGCUAUUAUCAAUGAAGGUAAUAUAAUAUAUUUUCGAAAAAUUGAUUGGGUUAAUAACAAGGAACCUCUUAUUACUUGAGCAAAUAGGACGGUAUCCCAGACUUCGGCUAUUUUUAUCCGUGCUUUUUCCUCUCUUUUGGCCUUCUGUCUUUUCUCCCUUGUCUUUUCCUCUGCAUAAUUCGCAAUUUUUCAUUUUUUGACCUUCCAAUUUUCAAAAAUGAGUUUUAUCAAUCCAGAAAUAUCAAAAGAAAAAAAGAUGGGUUUGUAUAUUCUGUCCAAAAAAAGGGGGGAAUGUACAUUUGCUUGAAAGAGUUCCCGAAUAACUAUUUUACGUCUUUGAGCGCGCAUGGAGCCUUUGAUUAUAUCUCGACGAAAAUCCGAUUGUUGUGAAUAACGGAUCAAAGCGACUUCGUUUGUUUGCUCAGAAUUCUCAAUAUCCUUGUUAGCGUUAGCAGUAUAAGUAUCGGCAUUCUGUUGAUUAUCAGUAAAAAUCACUACAUGUUUGGAUUUUCUUGAACGAAUCUCCUGGUACACCACUAAAGUUUCUCCUUCCUCCUCAUUCUUCAUUAAUUUGUAUGACCAUCGGGGGACUUUUUUACUGAUUUCUUUUAUUCCAAUAGAUUUUUUUCUAAUUGUUUGAUCCCCAGGAUUUAAGGGUCAGUUAUAACUCUAUCGAAAAAAAAAAUUUAAAAAUUUUGCUUGAUCUUCUGAAUCUGAAUCAACUUUUCCUUGUUCUGGAAAUAACGAAAGUCUUUUCAAAUUCAAAUUUGAUGGUGAUUCUAUAGUAAAUUGAUUGAUUAAGUUCAAAAAAUAACCCAUUUUUGUUGAUAAUGAUUUUCUAUCAAAUGUAUGUUCAAAUUCUCGAUAAUCAAUAGCAAAAAGGAUACCGUAAAUCUUAUUUAUGCGAAACUUCUCUAUGGAAUUUUCUCUGGAAGUUUCAUUUAUGAUUGAAGGUGAAAACAUUUUUUUGAUUGUUCCACGAUAUGGUCCGCUCAAGAAAGGAUCAUAUAUUUUAGGCAAGUAUUCUUUUUUAGUUGCAUCAUUACACAAUCUAGUUCUUUUUUCCAGUACAUCCAGAGUAAGCGAUCCAUUGUCUAGAGCCUCGAUUCUAGUUAUAAACUCCUUUCUUAGUGUGUUUUCUUUUUGUUCAUUGGUAUAAAUCCAAUGAUUAUAUAGUUCGUCAUAGGAGAGUCUUUCUGUUGUGGACAA